rnacentral:misc_RNA from 1 species
AGCAGCCGCGGUAAUUCCAGCUCCAAUAGCGUAUAUUAAAGUUGUUGCAGUUAAAAGCUCGUAGUUGAAUUUCGGAAUCAAUGGAUCGGUCAUGCCACUCGGUGUGUACUGGUUUGAUUGGUUCUCACCUUCUAAGGAACCGUGAUGUCAUUAAUUUGGUGUCGCGGGGAAUUAGGACUGUUACUUUGAAAAAUUGAGUGUUUAAAGCAAGCUCACGCUUGAAUACAUUAGCAUGGAAUAAUGAAAUAGGACAUUGUAUUCUAUUUUGUUGGUUUCUAGGAUCGAUGUAAUGAUUAAUAGGGAUAGUUGGGGGCAUUAGUAUUCAAUUGUCAGAGGUGAAAUUCUUGGAUUUAUUGAAGACUAACUCUGCGAAAGCAUUUGCCAAGGAUGUUUUCAUUAAUCAAGAACGAAAGUUAGGGGAUCGAAGACGAUCAGAUACCGUCGUAGUCUUAACCAUAAACUAUGCCGACUAGGGAUCGGAUGAUGUUAAUUUUUAAUGACUUCAUUCC